GUUGUAAUUGGAAUGAAUGUUGCUACAUCUGAAUUGACAUGUGAUUUGAACUUCAAGGAAGAGAACAACAACGGGUCUCAAAAAAUAUCCGAAGUGCAGCUCAAAGAUCUCUAUAAAUCGUUUGUGAGCGAGUACCCUAUUACUCAAAGGUUAACCAAAUUGGAUCUGUUACUGGGAGCAUUGAAGCUGUGAAAAUGCCAAAGCAUGCUGGUUGGGGUGUUAGACUAUGGGGUGUGGAGGAGGGUAGUCCUUAAAAGAUGGUUCACCGCAUAGGUGUCCAGGUAAGCGGGUGUGGGUAUGAGCCUAAAGGGAUGGGCUGGGGGUGUGGAGGAUGAGCCCAUUUAUAUAUACAUACAUAUGUAUGUAUGUAUAUUUUUGUGUGUGUGUUGGAUAAAGAAGUGAGGGCCAGCUUCAACGUCUAGGGUAGAACGGGGACGACCCGAGGGGCGGUGCGCAGGCCGUCGCUGCUCCUCGACGCACCAAGGACGAGCCCCAUACCGAGUAGCCGAGAGGACCAAACUUUCUUUACUGUGAUCACCGAAUCCGGUAAUGUUAUAUCAUUUUAUGCUUACUUUCAGUAAUAUUACGUAUUAAAAUCGUUAAACAUGUGAAGUAUGCAAUAUAUAUUUGAAGGCUUUGUAAUCAACCCUCUUGCAACUUGCAGUUACUAGGUGAACCUGAGGAUUGCUCCAUUUAGGUUGGUGCUGUCAAAACUUGGCAGAAAUCUGACUCCCAAAUGUCACUAGAUAAAUAGAAACAGUUAUGAGAGGCAAAUACAUCUCUUAUAUUAAAGGUGUCAUUGGGAAAU